GGCUCAGGAUGAACGCUAGCGGCAGGCCUAACACAUGCAAGUCGAGGGGUAACAGGGUAGCAAUAUUGCUGACGACCGGCGCACGGGUGAGUAACGCGUAUGCAACCUUCCUUUAACUGGGGGAUAGCCCGGAGAAAUUCGGAUUAAUACCCCAUAACAUCAUAGAAAGGCAUCUUUCAGUGAUUAAAGCUCCGGCGGUUAAAGAUGGGCAUGCGUGCCAUUAGCUUGUUGGUGAGGUAACGGCUCACCAAGGCUACGAUGGUUAGGGGGUCUGAGAGGAUGAUCCCCCACACUGGUACUGAGACACGGACCAGACUCCUACGGGAGGCAGCAGUGAGGAAUAUUGGGCAAUGGGCGCAAGCCUGACCCAGCCAUGCCGCGUGAAGGAUGAAUGCCCUAUGGGUUGUAAACUUCUUUUGUACGGGACGAAACUCCUGGUCGUGACCGGGAUUGACUGUACCGUGCGAAUAAGCAUCGGCUAACUCCGUGCCAGCAGCCGCGGUAAUACGGAGGAUGCAAGCGUUAUCCGGAUUCAUUGGGUUUAAAGGGUGCGUAGGCGGAAUAAUAAGUCAGUGGUGAAAGCCUGCGGCUUAACCGUAGAAAUGCCAUUGAUACUGUUAUUCUUGAGUAUAGUUGAGGUGGGCGGAAUGUGUAAUGUAGCGGUGAAAUGCUUAGAUAUUACACAGAACACCAAUUGCGAAGGCAGCUCACUAAGCUGUUACUGACGCUGAGGCACGAAAGCGUGGGGAGCAAACAGGAUUAGAUACCCUGGUAGUCCACGCCGUAAACGAUGAUCACUCGUUGUUGGCGAUACACCGUCAGCGACUGAGCGAAAGCAAUAAGUGAUCCACCUGGGGAGUACGGCGG
rnacentral:rRNA from 1 species